rnacentral:SRP_RNA from 1 species
AUGCGGGCCCCGUGCGCGGGUGCCCCGUGAACCAUGUCAGGCGGGGAACCGAGCAGCAUUAAGCGGUGCGUACCCGGCGCCGCGGCAAGCCUGCAUCCG